rnacentral:lncRNA from 1 species
CUCUGCGGUUCUGUAGGGUAACUGCUGCUAGAGAGCCUAAUUGAUUUUGGAGUGCCGCCGGGUUAGAGUCUCCGCGACUGAGCUGGUCUCGGCAAGCGGUGCCCAACAUGGGGGCUCACAUCCGGGUCAAAGGGUCGCCGGAGCGACAGUUGGAGAACGUGAAACUAAACUGGAGGACACCCGAGUACUCUUAAGCAAUCCCCGUGAGCCAGGAGAGCGUAUAGCACAGCUCCUGAUUGUGCCGUGAGAGUGGACAGGGCGAUGGCAGGUUCGCCGGGUGUGAGGCUUCACAGCGGUCCAGGGACCAAGUCGAGAUGGUGAAAACAAGACCAAGAUUGGAAAGCCAGCUUCAGAGGAGGGAAUUACAGCAAAAAUUGAACCAUUGACAGAAGAGUCUAGCAGUCUCAGAGAGAAUGUUCUCCAGGAUUCUGAAGGCAGAGAAUUCUGUGAAUUUGGGGAUAAAUUAAAUGAAAAAGAUCAGAACGCCUUUAAAAGGAGACCUCAAAACUGUGACAAAUAUGGGCAAAGCUUUGUUUGGAGUACAAGCCUUUUUAGGCAUCGAAGAACCCAUGGUGAGAAAGCUUAUGAAUGUGGUAAGUGUGGAAAGGCCUUUAGUGUGAGCUCAGCCCUGGUUCUGCAUCAGAGAAAGCAUGCUCAUUUUUAGAAGUCUCUUCUUACUGCUCAUUUUUAAACUCAUUUUUAAAAAUUUUUGGCUGGGCACAGUGGCUCACACCUGUAAUCCCAGC